rnacentral:rRNA from 1 species
ACAAUACUGUUCGCCAGAGAACUACAAGCAAAAAACUAGAAACUCUAAGGACUUGGCGGUGCUCCAUAUCAACCUAGAGGAGCCUGUCCUAUAAUCGAUACCCCACGCUAAACCUUACCAUCUUUUGCCACUCAGCCUAUAUACCGCCGUCGUCAGCUUACCUUGUGAAAGAAAAAUAGUAGGCAAAACAGCCAACAGCUAACACGUCAGGUCAAGGUGUAGCACAUAAGAUGGAAGAGAUGGGCUACAUUUUCUGCCACAGAACAAACGAAUGCUACAAUGAAACAUGUACCUAAAGGUGGAUUUAGCAGUAAGAUAAAAAAGCAACACUAUCUUAAACAUGCUCUGGAGCGCGCACACACCG